AUCUGCUCUCUUGUUCCCAG
rnacentral:miRNA from 1 species